CGAACGCUGGCGGCGUGCUUAACACAUGCACCUCGAACGGAAAGUGCUCUUCGGAGUGACUCGAGUGGCGAACGGGUGAGUAACACGUGGGUGAUCUGCCCUGCACUUUGGGAUAAGCCUGGGAAACUGGGUCUAAUACCGAAUAGGACCACGCGCUUCAUGGUGUGUGGUGGAAAGCUUUUGCGGUGUGGGAUGGGCCCGCGGCCUAUCAGCUUGUUGGUGGGGUAAUGGCCUACCAAGGCGACGACGGGUAGCCGGCCUGAGAGGGUGACCGGCCACACUGGGACUGAGAUACGGCCCAGACUCCUACGGGAGGCAGCAGUGGGGAAUAUUGCACAAUGGGCGCAAGCCUGAUGCAGCGACGCCGCGUGAGGGAUGACGGCCUUCGGGUUGUAAACCUCUUUCAACUAUGACGAAGCGCAAGUGACGGUAGUAGUAGAAGAAGGACCGGCCAACUACGUGCCAGCAGCCGCGGUAAUACGUAGGGUCCGAGCGUUGUCCGGAAUUACUGGGCGUAAAGAGCUCGUAGGUGGUUUGUCGCGUUGUUCGUGAAAACUCACAGCUUAACUGUGGGCGUGCGGGCGAUACGGGCAGACUGGAGUACUGCAGGGGAGACUGGAAUUCCUGGUGUAGCGGUGGAAUGCGCAGAUAUCAGGAGGAACACCGGUGGCGAAGGCGGGUCUCUGGGCAGUAACUGACGCUGAGGAGCGAAAGCGUGGGGAGCGAACAGGAUUAGAUACCCUGGUAGUCCACGCCGUAAACGGUGGGUACUAGGUGUGGGUUUCCUUCCUUGGGAUCCGUGCCGUAGCUAACGCAUUAAGUACCCCGCCUGGGGAGUACGGCCGCAAGGCUAAAACUCAAAGAAAUUGACGGGGGCCCGCACAAGCGGCGGAGCAUGUGGAUUAAUUCGAUGCAACGCGAAGAAC
rnacentral:rRNA from 1 species